rnacentral:rRNA from 1 species
GUCCAUGCCGUAAACGUUGGGCACUAGGUGUGGGUCCAUUCCACGGAUUCCGUGCCGCAGCAAACGCAUUAAGUGCCCCGCCUGGGGAGUACGGCCGCAAGGCUAAAACUCAAAGAAAUUGACGGGGCCCGCACAAGCGGCGGAGCAUGCGGAUUAAUUCGAUGCAACGCGAAGAACCUUACCAAGGCUUGACAUACACCGGAAACGUGCAGAGAUGUGCGCCCCGCAAGGUCGGUGUACAGGUGGUGCAUGGUUGUCGU